AUUCCCUGGGUGGGAAAAAAGCAACACAGUGCUUCCAUUUGCUCAUACUGAAUUUACCAAGGUUUCUCUAAAUACCGCAACCACUGCCUUUUCUCCUUCAUGUUAAAUGUCUUUUUUUUUUCCAGCUUCUUUUCCACCUGUUGUGCAGCUCAGUUGUUCCCUGCCUCUCAGUAGUGUGUGCUGCACCUCGUCUUCCCAUCUGCCAGCUCAGAGACUCCACAAGCUGUUGUAUCAGUCUCGGAACUUCUGUGCAUCUGACACACAUGGUGUCAUCAGGCACGGAAAGAAUGCGUAGCACGGGACCCCCACGUGACAGCCUCCGCAGCACAGCAGGCGACAGGAAGGACACCUCUUUCUGUCGGGCCAAAGCCUUGGCUUGCUUCAAAUACUCCAGCUGCAGAUACGUGCAUAAGCCAUCCUGGAGAAUAAAGGUGAUGAUGAUGAUGAUGAUGAUGAUGAUGAUGAUGAUGAUGAUGAUGGCAAUGAGAACAACAACAAUGGCGGCAAUGAUGAUCACUGUUAGAGUGCACCAUGUUUCACGUAGUAUGGGUCUUCAUCUCAUUUCUCAUCAUUCCUAAGGAGGUUAUGGUCCAUUGCUCACCCAUUUUACAAACUGGGAAACUCAAGCUUCAAAAGAAGUUAAAUGGGCUGCCUAAGAUCUAACAACCAACCAAUGGCCAUCCAGAGACUUGUGAUAUCAUUGAAUUCAUUCUGAAGUUCCUACAUAGCAGGACAUAUGCCUUGUUUUGAAUCUUAGCGGUGAUGUAAGAAGCACUUUCUUCUUCUUUGCCUUGGAAUCCUGAAUAUUCCUUUUCAAAUCCUAUGGCAGUGAGGGCAGUGGCAUUUUAUUUGGUUGGAGAAUUGGCCAAAAGUCUGAAUACAGGUGACCUAUUUCUCAAUUUGUCAUUUUUGAACUUAAUUUAUCCCAGAA
rnacentral:lncRNA from 1 species